AUCCCCGUGAGAAUGCCCUAUCGUGCCCUGUAUGGGGACAAGGAGCCGGUAUUAGGCACAGCCCGCACUAGCCCAUGACACCUUGCUAAGCCACACCCCCAAGGGAUUUCAGCAGUAAUAGAUAUUAAGCCAUAAGCGCAAGCUUGACUUAGUUAUAAUCAAAUAGGGCCGGUAAAACUCGUGCCAGCCACCGCGGUUAUACGAGAGGCCCAAGUUGAUAAUCACCGGCAUAAAGAGUGGUUAAUAAAUUUUAUACUAAGGCCAAACACCUCCAAAACUGUUAUACGUAUUUGAAGGCAGGAAGAUCGCCCACGAAAGUAGCCUUAAACAUAUGACCCCACGAAAGCUAGGGCCCAAACUGGGAUUAGAUACCCCACUAUGCCUAGCCCUAAACAAAAGCAAUAUUUAACACAUCUUGCUCGCCAGGGAACUACAAGCGCAAGCUUAAAACCCAAAGGACUUGGCGGUGCUUUAGACCCCCCUAGAGGAGCCUGUUCUAGAACCGAUAAUCCCCGUUCAACCUCACCCUCCCUUGCUCUUUCCGCCUAUAUACCGCCGUCGUCAGCCUACCCUGCAAGGGUCUAAUAGUAAGCAAAAUUGGUAUAACCUAAAACGUCAGGUCGAGGUGUAGCGUAUGAGAGGGAAAGAAAUGGGCUACAUUCACUGAAACAGUGAACCACGGAAGAUGAAAUGAAACAAACAUCCAAAGGAGGAUUUAGCAGUAAGAGGGAAACAGAGCGUUCCUCUGAAACUGGCCCUGAAGCGCGCACACACCGCCCGUCACUCUCCCCGAACAAAGCCCCUUAAUAAAUAAACAAAAUAUCUCAAUAAAGGGGAGGCAAGUCGUAACAUGGUAAGUGUACCGGAAGGUGUACUUGGAAUAAAU
rnacentral:ncRNA from 1 species